rnacentral:misc_RNA from 1 species
CAGGUAACUAUCUUAUUAUGUGACUAGACUAGCAGCGUCUACUGUGGGGUUGUUUGAAUUUGGAUCUUUUAUUGAAGUAUGUCUACUUGGAACAACAAUGGCCAAGAAAUAUAGCAGAGGCAGUGAAGUGAAGCAAACAGCUCCAGCACUUGGCUUGAAACAGGCCAUGCAUUGCAUUCAAUAGUCAGGAAAACAAGAUGUGAAGCUGACGUUUGUUUGGGCGAUCUUAUGAACUCGUCUGUGUUUUGGAGCUGACGUUGGCAGCUCUCAAGGUCAACGAUAUUCGCGAAAUUUGAUUUAUUCAAAUUUAAAUUUAAUUUAUAAUUUUAACAACUCAUUUUAAUUUCAAUAGUUGUUAUUUUAAAUAUUUUUUUAAUUCAAG